rnacentral:rRNA from 1 species
GAUGAACGCUGGCGGCGUGCCUAAUACAUGCAAGUCGAGCGAACAGACGAGGAGCUUGCUCCUCUGACGUUAGCGGCGGACGGGUGAGUAACACGUGGAUAACCUACCUAUAAGACUGGGAUAACUUCGGGAAACCGGAGCUAAUACCGGAUAAUAUAUUGAACCGCAUGGUUCAAUAGUGAAAGACGGUUUUGCUGUCACUUAUAGAUGGAUCCGCGCCGCAUUAGCUAGUUGGUAAGGUAACGGCUUACCAAGGCAACGAUGCGUAGCCGACCUGAGAGGGUGAUCGGCCACACUGGAACUGAGACACGGUCCAGACUCCUACGGGAGGCAGCAGUAGGGAAUCUUCCGCAAUGGGCGGAAGCCUGACGGAGCAACGCCGCGUGAGUGAUGAAGGUCUUCGGAUCGUAAAACUCUGUUAUGAGGGAAGAACAAAUGUGUAAGUAACUAUGCACGUCUUGACGGUACCUAAUCAGAAAGCCACGGCUAACUACGUG